GUUCCUGCUCCAGUGGCAGGAUGUGAUUCACCAGCAAGGAGGGACGCCAAUAAGCUAUAUGGCAGGUACUGUAUAAACCUCACAGGCAAUAUGGACUGCUCCAGAUGACUGCUAUGCCUGCUCUCAGCAUGUGUUUCAACUUUCAUCAUUUCUGUACUUGGAACUUCAGCAUUUCUCCCUCCAUUGCUUCUCUCCCUGUCCAUGAAUGUGCAUCCAUCUCCCUCUGGAAUUCCAACGCUAUAGUCAUGCAGCUCUUUUCCUUCAGCGCCAAAUGUCUAAACAACAGACUCCAACCUCUCACUCAAGAAAUACCAUCUCUCAAAUCUUCACUCUGAGACUAUGAUUGCCAACUAUUGAUAAAAUGAUUCAGACGCUUCUGCCAGCAAGAGUGCAGAUAAAUAGCUGGAGAAGUGCGGAAACAGCAAGAACGUUUUAAUUGGAAUUGUGGAGCAAUUUUUAUACUUCAAAUUAUAAAGAAACUGGAGUGCAACAAACAGAAUAUUGAAGUGAAAUUAAGUAUUUCUUUAUGCAGUCAAUAUUAGAGUGCAAAGAAUCUCUCACAGAAGUUAAUAAGUGUGCAGACUCUACCUUUACCUUAUGGAUUCUGCUAAUGUGUUCUUUUCUGUAUCUUCAAGUGUCCAAAUGCAUUGGCUACCCCAGUCAAGAGGGCAAUUCGGAAGCAGAUUGCCAUAACUGUGUAUGCACAAAUGUCCCAAAGAAUCUAUAGAUGGGAAUUUUGAGUUUGAGCUGAAGAAUGCAAAAAUUAUGUAUCUAUCUGGGACAAAUUAGAAGUCCUUUCAAUAGUAAAUUUAGGCAACAAAUGACAGAAGUGUUAAUUAUGUAGGAGUUUGUCUAGGAGAAAUCACUCAUUUUAAGUACUAGUAUUCAUGCAGACCUCAAAGUGGUAUUUCACACACACACCAGUGCCCAAUUAAUCAAUGAAUACUUAGAUUUACUUACUAUAACUUUAUUUUUUAUGCAUCAUAAUUGUAUUUCAAUGUAGUGGUUUCCCUAUAACUUAGAUGUCCCAUUUGCAAGCAUUUAAAAACAUGCUGAGAAAGCCUCCACAGCUCCAACUGCCAACAGGCAGCAUAAAGGAGCAAAAGGUUAAGAAUCCCUGGUUUAAAUGUGUUUGUGAUCCCAGUUCAGAUCCCCAGUUCUCUUUAGCUAAAUUAUAGGAAACAGGCCCUUGCUUGGUUCUGGUAGACGCUGAUUAAGAGGAAAGGCACAACAGUCGCAGUUCCCUAUCAGACAAAUUCAGUACUUGUCAUUUCCAAGGAUACAGCUUCUUUAUUUUCCGUAAAAUAAAAUCACAUUCCACAGAUGCCAGAUCCCCCUAUCACUGGCUUACAGAUGGGUUUCCUGCCAGACAACAAAUGCGACUGCCAGGACUCCUGCUCUGACACUCUGAUAAGGUUGGAGGCAUGUCUUAGAAGGAAACAACAUUCUCAAGGCAAAUGAUUGUUCCGUGAGGGCCUUCUGACACUGUCCAUAUGCAAUGAAGUAGUUAAGUCAAUAAGAUCUGAAGCACAGGGUCACUCUGCUUUACUUCAGUCAAUAAUAAGAGCACUUAUCUCUUGCUGCUUUUUAUAUAUUAUGAUGACAGUGGCUCUGCUGUGUAGUGUUACUACGCCCUAGCUCCCUGUCAUCUUAAGUGUAAGUGAUACAUAGACUAUGUAUGAGAUAGUAAAAAUGUGGGACUAUAAUUUAAUGUAUAGCACAUGGAUACUGUUUAUUUAUAUUGUGUUUAAUCUUUAAAAUUUGUAUAGUUGUAAAUACCCAUACAUCUUUAUAUGUGGCAGACAUAUUUUGUAUCUCUAUAUAUUAUGGAGCUAAGUAUUUAGAAUUUACAUUAUUCUAAGUAUGCCUACACCUUUUUAUGACAGAUGGAAAUAUCAGCAUUGGUAGUUCUCUCACAGGAAAAAUAUUUGUGUUUCUAGUCCUUAGUUGCUUUCAAAUGUAAAUCACAACAUGCAUUCCUAUGUACUGCUAAAACAUGACCAUCUUAAACAGAAAAAUCAAUACCUAUCUUUAUCUAUUGUACUGUCAGAAUGUGAAAAGUUUGCUUUGUUCUGUAAAGAGGGCGGUAACUUGGAAUCAAGGAGUUAGCAGGUUACUUAACAAAUUUUAUAGGCACAAAAAUGUCCUUGAAAUCAGUGGGUGUUUUGUUCAAGGAAACAAGGAAAGGCUUAUAGCCUUGUGCCCUAGUUUCAAAAUGAAUUUUUGUUCACUACAUUGACAGUAUUUAUUGCUCAAUUCCUUUUAGCAAGUACAGGCAUGAUAUUGCCUUGAGUUCCUUUAAAAUUUGGGGGACAAAGUCUGAAGAGAGAAAAGUUCCAGAAAUGAACAUUAGAGAUUGUCUUUUACCUAUGGCUUCAUCGACUACAUAACAUCAAUUUAUAGACUAUUGGUUCAUUCAUGCAUAUAGCUGAGGUACUGGUUUCUUCAAAUGGCUAAUAUUAAUUGAAAUAAUACACAAGUAUACUACCUGGAAGAAAGCAGCUGCUCAAUAAAUAUUAGCUCUCUUA